AAUAUUGGACAAUGGGGGCAACCCUGAUCCAGCCAUGCCGCGUGUGUGAAGAAUGUCUNCGGAAUNUNAAGCACUUUAAGUGGGGNGGAAGGGCUUUAGGCUAAUACCCUGAAGUUUUGACGUUACCAACAGAAUAAGCACCGGCUAACUCUGCGCCAGCAGCCGCGGUAAUACUGAGGGUGCAAGCGUUAAUCGGAAUUACUGGGCGUACAGCGGGCGUAGGUGGUUCAGUAAGAUGCGUGUGAAAUCCCCGGGCUUAACCUGGGAACAGCUUUCACAACUGCUGAGCUAGAGUACGGUAGAGGUUAGUGGAAUUUCCUGUGUAGCGGUGAAAUGCGUAGAUAUAGGAAGGAACACCAGUGGCGAAGGCGACUACCUGGACUGAUACUGACACUGAGGUGCGAAAGCGUGGGGAGCAAACA
rnacentral:rRNA from 1 species